GUGAGGAAUAUUGGUCAAUGGGCGAGAGCCUGAACCAGCCAAGUCGCGUGAAGGAAGAAGGAUCUAUGGUUCGUAAACUUCUUUUGCAGGGGAAUAAAGUGCGGGACGUGUCCUGUUUUGUAUGUACCCUGAGAAUAAGGAUCGGCUAACUCCGUGCCAGCAGCCGCGGUAAUACGGAGGAUCCGAGCGUUAUCCGGAUUUAUUGGGUUUAAAGGGUGCGUAGGUGGUUUGAUAAGUCAGCGGUGAAAGUUUGCAGCUUAACUGUAAAAAUGCCGUUGAAACUGUCGGACUUGAGUGUAAAUGAGGUAGGCGGAAUGCGUGGUGUAGCGGUGAAAUGCAUAGAUAUCACGCAGAACUCCGAUUGCGAAGGCAGCUUACUAAGCUACAACUGACACUGAAGCACGAAAGCGUGGGUAUCAAACAGGAUUAGAAACCCCAGUAGUCC
rnacentral:rRNA from 1 species